GGAAUCUUCCACAAUGGGCGCAAGCCUGAUGGAGCAACACCGCGUGAGUGAAGAAGGGUUUCGGCUCGUAAAGCUCUGUUGUUAAAGAAGAACACGUAUGAGAGUAACUGUUCAUACGUUGACGGUAUUUAACCAGAAAGUCACGGCUAACUACGUGCCAA
rnacentral:rRNA from 1 species